rnacentral:lncRNA from 1 species
AAAUAUCAUGACAAAUAAAAACCCAUUUUCUCUAAAGAAGCCUCAAAGAAGGAAAACAAAUUCUUCCCCAACUUGGAACCCUAGAAAUCGCCCCCAAAAUCCCAACUGAAGUCUUGAAUUUCAUUUCGGAUUGUUUGUGUUUAACGGUUUUUGACAUUCUAUUCCUCCCACAGAUUGCCCGCAACAUUACAACAGAGGAGCUGGAGGCGAUUCAAAAACCCAUACGAUCAUGGCUGCAAGAAAACUUGUUUAGAAUUCUUGAUAAAUGGAUACAAUGUAGACGUGGAGUAUUAUGAAGAAUCAACGCUUUUCUUGUUAUGGCUAAGAUGCUGGUGUCAACGGAUGUCUUCUACAGGAAAGAAAGACCACCUCUUACAUUUUCUUUACUGGUUCAGUUUUUCCUUUUAGCAUUGGUUGGGUAAGAAUGUGGGAUUCUUAAAUUCUUUGAAUUUUCAUUUCUCUAAUAUCUUCAUUUUCUCAUAUUUUGUUGUGUUUUUGGCUCUACCAGAAAAUAGGUUUUCAUUUGUUAUGGGAUUUUAUCGAUUGUGGCCCAGUUGGACUGAUUUAAUGUUUGUUACCUGCCACGUCAAAUUUCCGUCCAACAAGGGGCACAUUCCGUUCAUUGAAGUUGACAGAAAUUAAAUGGGUGAUGGAUGUGUAAGUAUUUGGAGAGAUGAGUGAGUAACGGGUUAUAUUUUAUAGGUCGUUAAGCAAGUAGUAAUGUAGAUUGAAGUUGAGUGAGCAUUGAUUAAAUUUACUCUUCCCUUUCCACUCCUUUUCCUCUCCUCUCGUCUCUGCCGAUUGCCAACGACGGAACGACCGGACCAAAAUCCAAAUCAAUUUCUCUUAGAAUUUCUGCAAAUGCAAAAGAAGAAAACGCGAGGAACGAUUAUCCACGACCCAAAUCGCAAAGCCAAACCCUAACCUCGCAAUCAAUUUCGAACCUCCAUCGACAGCUUCCCAAAAUCUGAUUUUCGAGUUGCCAGUCUCACCGCACGGCGCACGUAGGUUAAAGAAAUCUGAUUUACUGUGUUUCUCCUUGUUAUUCAUUCGGCUCCUGUGCUCCGUCUUGGUGAUUGCAAGUUGCUUUUUUUUUUUUUUUUUUUAAUAAUCUUGUUCAAUGAAUAAUGUGCAUCACUGGGAUUUGGUUUAUGUUGUUUAUUAUACAUCUUUCUUAGUCAUGGCAACAAACUGAUUUUAGAUUUCUUUUGUCAGCUACAAAAAUAGGAGAAACAAGUAAUAUAGUAUGUUAACUCAUUUAAUAAAUUGUAGACUGAAAAUGCAUUUAUACGGUAAAGGUUUACAUAAAUUUACAGUAAAAAUGCAAAAAACACGAAAUAUGUGGUAGAAACUGCAGAAAGCAUCAAUUAAAACAUCAAAUUUCUCACGAUAGUUGAUCAUAUUACAAAAUAUAUAAUCUCACAGAUUCCAAUGCUUUAAUGUUUAUAUUUAACCAGACUUGAUUGCAAAAAGAUGGAUUAAAUCUAGUAUAAACAUAAUUAUACACAUUCACAUUUAAGAUGACAACACGAUGCACCAUGCUGGGAUCAUAAUAUUUUCUUUUUUCUUUUUUGUUUAGGCCCUUCUGAUUGUUUGUAGGACAACUGGACUGAUAGCAAGGCAAGGACCUUCUCUGAAUCGAC